CCUGCUUCCUGAAGGGGUGGGGCCCCAGGAUGCGGGGGGUGGGAGUAGGCUGCCCGGCCUCAGCGCUGCGUCCUGCCCCCCCUCCCGCAGCCGACACCCAUCGGCACGGUCCACACCGAC
rnacentral:precursor_RNA from 12 species